rnacentral:rRNA from 1 species
UGGGGAAUUUUGGACAAUGGGGGCAACCCUGAUCCAGCAGUGCCGCGUGUGUGAAGAAGGCCUUCGGGUUGUAAAGCACUUUUGUCCGGAAAGAAAUCCCUUGCCCUAAUACGGCGGGGGGAUGACGGUACCGGAAGAAUAAGCACCGGCUAACUACGUGCCAGCAGCCGCGGUAAUACGUAGGGUGCGAGCGUUAAUCGGAAUUACUGGGCGUAAAGCGUGCGCAGGCGGUUUUGUAAGACAGGCGUGAAAUCCCCGAGCUCAACUUGGGAAUGGCGCUUGUGACUGCAAGGCUAGAGUAUGUCAGAGGGGGGUAGAAUUCCACGUGUAGCAGUGAAAUGCGUAGAGAUGUGGAGGAAUACCGAUGGCGAAGGCAGCCCCCUGGGACGUCACUGACGCUCAUGCACGAAAGCGUGGGGAGCAAACAGGAUUAGAUACCCUGGUAGUCCACGCCCUAAACGAUGUCAACUAGUUGUUGGGGAUUCAUUUCUUCAGUAACGUAGCUAACGCGUGAAGUUGACCGCCUGGGGAGUACGGUCGCAAGAUUA